ACUCCUACGGGAGGCAGCAGUAGGGAAUAUUGGACAAUGGUCGGAAGACUGAUCCAGCCAUGCCGCGUGCAGGAGGAAGGCCCUCUGGGUUGUAAACUGCUUUUGGACGGGAAUAAACCACCCGAUGCGUUGGGUGCUGCAGGUACCGUCAGAAUAAGCACCGGCUAACUCCGUGCCAGCAGCCGCGGUAAU
rnacentral:rRNA from 1 species